GGGUGACUGCGUACCUUUUGUAUAAUGGGUCAGCGACUUAUAUUCUGUAGCAAGGUUAACCGUAUAGGGGAGCCGCAGGGAAACCGAGUCUUAACUGGGCGUUAAGUUGCAGGGUAUAGACCCGAAACCCGGUGAUCUAGCCAUGGGCAGGUUGAAGGUUGGGUAACACUAACUGGAGGACCGAACCGACUAAUGUUGAAAAAUUAGCGGAUGACUUGUGGCUGGGGGUGAAAGGCCAAUCAAACCGGGAGAUAGCUGGUUCUCCCCGAAAGCUAUUUAGGUAGCGCCUCGUGAACUCAUCUUCGGGGGUAGAGCACUGUUUCGGCUAGGGGGUCAUCCCGACUUACCAACCCGAUGCAAACUACGAAUACCGAAGAAUGUUAUCACGGGAGACACACGGCGGGUGCUAACGUCCGUCGUGAAGAGGGAAACAACCCAGACCGCCAGCUAAGGUCCCAAAGUCAUGGUUAAGUGGGAAACGAUGUGGGAAGGCCCAGACAGCCAGGAUGUUGGCUUAGAAGCAGCCAUCAUUUAAAGAAAGCGUAAUAGCUCACUGGUCGAGUCGGCCUGCGCGGAAGAUGUAACGGGGCUAAACCAUGCACCGAAGCUGCGGCAGCGACGCUUAUGCGUUGUUGGGUAGGGGAGCGUUCUGUAAGCCGUUGAAGGUGGCCUGUGAGGGUUGCUGGAGGUAUCAGAAGUGCGAAUGCUGACAUAAGUAACGAUAAUGCGGGUGAAAAACCCGCACGCCGGAAGACCAAGGGUUCCUGUCCAACGUUAAUCGGGGCAGGGUGAGUCGACCCCUAAGGCGAGGCCGAAAGGCGUAGUCGAUGGGAAACAGGUUAAUAUUCCUGUACUUGGUGUUACUGCGAAGGGGGGACGGAGAAGGCUAUGUUGGCCGGGCGACGGUUGUCCCGGUUUAAGCAUGUAGGCGGAUGUUCCAGGUAAAUCCGGAACGUCACUAACGCUGAGGUGUGAUGACGAGGCACUACGGUGCUGAAGUGACAAAUGCCCUGCUUCCAGGAAAAGCCUCUAAGCAUCAGGUAACAUCAAAUCGUACCCCAAACCGACACAGGUGGUCAGGUAGAGAAUACCAAGGCGCUUGAGAGAACUCGGGUGAAGGAACUAGGCAAAAUGGUGCCGUAACUUCGGGAGAAGGCACGCUGAUGGUAAGUGAAGUGACUUGCUCAUGGAGCUGAAAUCAGUCGAAGAUACCAGCUGGCUGCAACUGUUUAUUAAAAACACAGCACUGUGCAAACACGAAAGUGGACGUAUACGGUGUGACGCCUGCCCGGUGCCGGAAGGUUAAUUGAUGGGGUUAUCCUCACGGAGAAGCUCUUGAUCGAAGCCCCGGUAAACGGCGGCCGUAACUAUAACGGUCCUAAGGUAGCGAAAUUCCUUGUCGGGUAAGUUCCGACCUGCACGAAUGGCGUAAUGAUGGCCAGGCUGUCUCCACCCGAGACUCAGUGAAAUUGAACUCGCUGUGAAGAUGCAGUGUACCCGCGGCAAGACGGAAAGACCCCGUGAACCUUUACUAUAGCUUGACACUGAACACUGGUCCUUGAUGUGUAGGAUAGGUGGGAGGCUUUGAAGUGUGGACGCCAGUCUGCAUGGAGCCGUCCUUGAAAUACCACCCUUUAAUGGCUGGUGUUCUAACGUGGGCCCCUAAUCGGGGUUGCGGACAGUGUCUGGUGGGUAGUUUGACUGGGGCGGUCUCCUCCUAAAGAGUAACGGAGGAGCACGAAGGUCAGCUAAUCCUGGUCGGACAUCAGGAGGUUAGUGCAAUGGCAUAAGCUGGCUUGACUGCGAGCGUGACGGCGCGAGCAGGUGCGAAAGCAGGUCAUAGUGAUCCGGUGGUUCUGAAUGGAAGGGCCAUCGCUCAACGGAUAAAAGGUACUCCGGGGAUAACAGGCUGAUACCGCCCAAGAGUUCAUAUCGACGGCGGUGUUUGGCACCUCGAUGUCGGCUCAUCACAUCCUGGGGCUGAAGUAGGUCCCAAGGGUAUGGCUGUUCGCCAUUUAAAGUGGUACGCGAGCUGGGUUUAGAACGUCGUGAGACAGUUCGGUCCCUAUCUGCCGUGGGCGCUGGAGAAUUGAGGGGGGCUGCUCCUAGUACGAGAGGACCGGAGUGGACGCAUCACUGGUGUUCGGGUUGUCAUGCCAAUGGCAUUGCCCGGUAGCUAAAUGCGGAAGAGAUAAGUGCUGAAAGCAUCUAAGCACGAAACUUGCCCCGAGAUGAGUUCUCCCUGACCCUUUAAGGGUCCUGAAGGAACGUUGAAGACGACGACGUUGAUAGGCCGGGUGUGUAAGCGCAGCGAUGCGUUGAGCUAACCGGUACUAAUGAACCGUGAGGCUUAACCUUACAACGCCGAAG
rnacentral:rRNA from 1 species